GUGGGGAAUCUUGCGCAAUGGGCGAAAGCCUGACGCAGCCAUGCCGCGUGAAUGAUGAAGGUCUUAGGAUUGUAAAAUUCUUUCACCGGGGACGAUAAUGACGGUACCCGGAGAAGAAGCUCCGGCUAACUUCGUGCCAGCAGCCGCGGUAAUACGAAGGGGGCUAGCGUUGCUCGGAAUUACUGGGCGUAAAGGGCGCGUAGGCGGACAGCUUAGUCAGAGGUGAAAGCCCAGGGCUCAACCUUGGAAUUGCCUUUGAUACUGGCUGUCUUGAGUUUGGGAGAGGUGAGUGGAACUCCGAGUGUAGAGGUGAAAUUCGUAGAUAUUCGGAAGAACACCAGUGGCGAAGGCGACUGACUGGACAAGUAUUGACGCUGAGGUGCGAAAGCGUGGGGAGCAAACAGGAUUAGAAACCCGUGUAGUCC
rnacentral:rRNA from 1 species